UACAGAGGUCCCAAGCGUUGUUCGGAUUCAUUGGGCGUAAAGGGUGCGUCGGUGGCGCCGUAAGUCGGGUGUGAAAUUUCGGAGCUUAACUCCGAAACUGCAUUCGAUACUGCGGUGCUUGAGGACUGGAGAGGAGACUGGAAUUUACGGUGUAGCAGUGAAAUGCGUAGAGAUCGUAAGGAAGACCAGUGGCGAAGGCGGGUCUCUGGACAGUUCCUGACACUGAGGCACGAAGGCCAGGGGAGCAAACGGG
rnacentral:rRNA from 1 species